rnacentral:rRNA from 1 species
GUCGGGAAUAUUGCUCAAUGGACGAAAGUCUGAAGCAGCAACGCCGCGUGCGCGAUGAAGGCCUUCGGGUCGUAAAGCGCUUUUCGGUGGGAUGAGGAAGGACAGUACCACCGGAAUAAGGGACGGCUAACUACGUGCCAGCAGCCGCGGUAAAACGUAGGUCCCGAGCGUUAUCCGGAUUUACUGGGCGUAAAGGGCGUGUAGGUGGCCUUGGAAGUCGGGCAUGAAAUCUUCUGGCUCAACCGGGAGAGGCUGUCCGAAACUCCAAAGCUUGAGUGCUGGAGAGGCGGGUGGAAUUCCGCGUGUAGUGGUGAAAUGCGUAGAGAUGCGGAGGAACACCAGUGGCGAAAGCGGCCCGCUGGCCAGCGACUGACACUGAAACGCGAAAGCUAGGGGAGCGAACGGGAUUAGAAACCCCAGUAGUCC